rnacentral:lncRNA from 1 species
GGGGCGGGCAGGCGCCCCGGGAGCAGGGAGCGCGCCUGCCAGGCUCAGGCUCACACGCACGCCGCCUCUGUUUGUACACACUGCGCUCACGGCCGCCGGCUCGCUCCCCUCCUGCUCACGCUUCAUUGUUCUCCAAGUCAGAAGCCCCGCAGCCGCGGCGGCGUUAACAGCGCGAGCUAAGCGCACUGUCCUCUCCACCGCCCGCGGGUCCGCCCGCCCGCGCGGGAGACCCGGAGCCACGACGGGAGUCCGCGCCCCGCCCGCCGAACCUCGGCCAGGACCCACCCGCAGCAGAGGGCAGAGCCCGCCAGCGCUUCCAGAGAGCUCACCCAGCUCCGCGCGCCGGAGCGCAGGAAAAAGGGGGAGGAAACGUUCCUCUUGGUGGCCACCACUCUUUCUCGCCCUCUCCAAGAAUUUGUUUAAGAAAGCGCUGCGGGAAGAAGACAUCUUCUUGAAUUCUCUAACAGGGGCGGAGUCUACUGCUGACCUGCGGUGCCACCUCGGCUUCACUGCUCUCGGUGACGACCCCUGACCAGCCAGGGUCACGUCCGGAAGACCGGAUCAUGAAGCGCUUGGUUUUCACCUGGCUCUUGGUUGGGCUCAGCCUCGGUGUCCCCCAGUUCGGCAAAGGUGAGGCGGUGGGGCCCGGAUCGCUGGAUGCGGGACGGGAGGGGAGUCCCCAGGGAAAUGCUGCGCAGGG